rnacentral:misc_RNA from 1 species
UCUUGAUCCAUUCAAGGUACUUGAGAUUACCACCGUUGAUCGGCAAAGCGAUGACUUCAGGAACCGCAUAUUCAUGGUUGGCUUUUACAUGCUCUGUCAAAGCAUCCAGGAGGGAUUCCCUCGUCUUGAUAAUCAGUAGUUCUUCAGAAUCUGUUUGAACCUUACCAUCCCACCAAUAAACAGACUCGAUGCCUGGUACUCGAUUUACACAAGCUGCAAGCUUUUCUGUAAUAAUACUUUCAGAGAGCUUUUUGCCAGCUUCCUUGUUUGGAACAGUAACAUAGACCACAAUUGCGGCUACUGAGCUGGAACCAGUCUCCAUUGCAGAGGAAUGAAGAGCUCUGAAGCUUGAUUGAGUUGCGAUCUUUGACCUGAUGAGAGGGAGGCGACGGAACGGCUGAGAGAACUCGGUCCGGUAGGCGAGUGCGGAGAAGGCGCCGAGGCUGAGCACGCACAGGGCGCCAACGAGCGGCGCGCGGCGGAGGGCGGCGUUGGGGCGGCGGAGUGGGUGAUGGGGAGGGAUCGAGGGGGGUUCUAG